AUUGAACGCUGGCGGCAGGCCUAACACAUGCAAGUCGAGCGGAUGAAGGGAGCUUGCUCCUGGAUUCAGCGGCGGACGGGUGAGUAAUGCCUAGGAAUCUGCCCGGUAGUGGGGGAUAACGUCCGGAAACGGGCGCUAAUACCGCAUACGUCCUGAGGGAGAAAGUGGGGGAUCUUCGGACCUCACGCUAUCAGAUGAGCCUAGGUCGGAUUAGCUAGUUGGUGGGGUAAAGGCCUACCAAGGCGACGAUCCGUAACUGAUCUGAGAGGGUGAUCAGUCACACUGGAACUGAGACACGGUCCAGACUCCUACGGGAGGCAGCAGUGGGGAAUAUUGGACAAUGGGCGAAAGCCUGAUCCAGCCAUGCCGCGUGUGUGAAGAAGGUCUUCGGAUUGUAAAACACUGUUAGUUGGGAAGAAGGGCAGUAAGUUAAUACCUGGCUGUUUUGACGGUACCAACAGAGUAAGCACCGGCUAACUUCGUG
rnacentral:rRNA from 1 species